rnacentral:lncRNA from 1 species
AUGAUCUUAAAGAUAGCAAGGACUAUUGUGAGCCUUCUUUCAUUCUUUUAUUUGCUUUUUUCCUUAUGUAGUGCAGAAAGUCAAACAGUUUGGCCAACAGUUUGACUUUCGGUUUUGACCAUCAAUUGGUCAAGUCAAAGUUCAAUUGAACUUUGAAACGUGAUUGUAAUCACGAUAGUUAUAAUCCUUCGUGAUUAUAACCGCUGAUUACCACGUUAGCUAGUUGUAGUGUCGAGUCAAAGUUUCGGUCAACAUGCGCUUUAGCACGCAUUUUGCAACGAAACUACUUUAGGGUAUCAAAACACUUUGUUUUGAUACCAAAUCAGUAGGUUAGACAUGUUUUGACAUGUUUAACUCGACACUAUUAGAUUAGUGCUUGUUUAGGGUCGUAAGGUAAGCGGUCUAAACAACCGCUUAGCCUUCCGAACCCGACCCGUUUGGUCGAUCUUUAGGAUCCGACCAAGCUUAGUAAGUGAUCAUAGAUUCAUAGGGAAUAACCACUGAGGUUAUAACCUUAUGAUCACCUAGGAUUGGUUAGUCAUUUGCUAGUUAGCUUGUAUGCCCAUAGGAAAUGACCAAAAUGCCCUUUUGAAGCUAAAACCCGUAUUUUGAUUAUGUGAACAUAUUUUCAACAUAUAAUCUGAAUUAGUAACAUGUUUAGGGAUAAUUGGGCAUGUAAGACUUGACAUAGCACAUAGUUAACCAUCCGAACCUAGUUUUACGCAAACGACGCAUUAUAGUGGCUUAUGUUACCAUAAUGUGUCGAAACGGGUCAAAAGCACUUAGGUAGGCCUUCCAAUCAGAAUGUUAGGUCUAUUAAAUCAUGCCAUAUGAGUUGCAAUACUCAUUUGAUUUAUAGAACUUCAUUCUAUCCUAUCUUCCGAUUUAGGAUCCGAUUGUUUAACAUAGUGAUCCAUUCUAGGUGCCACUUGAUUCCUUGAUUUCCCGAGCUUUGUUAGGACACUUAAUCAAGGAUACUCGCAAUCUCAAGUGAGUACAUAGUCCCCUCUUUUACUAUUUUCAAUUGUUUUGGGGUGAAACAUAUAUGCCUAUCUGUUAUUUUCCUGAUUUUAAACUAUAUGAUUACACAUGCUUAAUACAUAUUCUUUUGACAAAUUAAACAAUUACCUAUGGUUUAAACACUGAUUUUCCAAAACUUAAUAAACAAAUUGUUGGAUUGUACCAUUUUUUUUUUUGGGUAAAGGGUUACCCCGGUGAUUUUAUAUAUUCACAUCAAAAACAAACAAGUAGUGAGGUGAAGUCCACACUAGUUCUUACAUGAGACAUGCCCCACGUAAGUAUAAGCCA